rnacentral:rRNA from 1 species
UACGUAGGGUGCAAGCGUUGUCCGGAAUUAUUGGGCGUAAAGAGCUCGUAGGCGGUCUGUCGCGUCGGCUGUGAAAUCCCGAGGCUCAACCUCGGGUCUGCAGUCGAUACGGGCAAACUGGAGUGUUGCAGGGGAGACUGGAAUUCCCGGUGUAGCGGUGAAAUGCGCAGAUAUCGGGAAGAAUACCGGUGGCGAAGGCGGAUCCCUGGACCUGGAUUGACGCUGAGACUCGAAAGCUAGGGGAGCAAACAGG